rnacentral:rRNA from 1 species
AGGCCUCAGUACGGCGAGUGAAGCGGCAACAGCUCAAAUUUGAAAUCUGGCCGCAAGGUCCGAGUUGUAAUUUGCAGAGGAUGCUUUUGGCGAGGUGCCUUCCGAGUUCCCUGGAACGGGACGCCAUAGAGGGUGAGAGCCCCGUACGGUUGGACCACCGAGCCUCUGUAAAGCUCCUUCGACGAGUCGAGUAGUUUGGGAAUGCUGCUCUAAAUGGGAGGUGUACGUCUUCUAAAGCUAAAUACCGGCCAGAGACCGAUAGCGCACAAGUAGAGUGAUCGAAAGAUGAAAAGCACUUUGAAAAGAGGGUUAAAAAGUACGUGAAAUUGUUGAAAGGGAAGCGUUUAUGACCAGACUUGGGCUUGGUUGAACAUCCGGCGUUCUCGCCGGUGCACUCUGCCAGUCCAGGCCAGCAUCAGUUUGUCCCGGGGGAUAAAGGCGGUGGGAAUGUGGCUCCCCCGGGAGUGUUAUAGCCCGCCGUGCAAUGCCCUGGGACGGACUGAGGAACGCGCUUCGGCACGGAUGCUGGCGUAAUGGUCAUCAACGACCCGUCUUGAACCCACGGACCA